rnacentral:misc_RNA from 1 species
GGUGUUGGAGUUGGCUGGAAAUGCGGCAAGAGACAACAAGAAGAGCAGAAUCAUUCCUAGGCAUGUGCUUUUGGCAGUGAGGAAUGAUGAGGAGUUGGGAAAAUUGUUGGCUGGUGUUACAAUUGCAAGUGGAGGUGUUCUUCCUAACAUUAACCCAGUUCUGUUGCCUAAGAAAUCGGCAGUUGCCGAGGAGAAGUCACCUAAAGCUAAGGCAGGAAAGUCACCGAAGAAGGCAUAAGUCUCAUUUAGAAGUUUCAUUGUCGGGUUAAAUAUGCGUCAAAUCUUUUGUCUAGUUUAUGGGUACUUCUAGCAGUAGGACGUAGAUUUCUGUUAUGGUUUUUAUAACCUUGGUGUAAUGUGCUUGGAAAUAUAAUAGAAAUUAUCUCAUUUUC